rnacentral:rRNA from 1 species
AUUCCAGCUCCAAUAGCGUAUAUUAAAGUUGUUGCGGUUAAAAAGCUCGUAGUUGGAUUUCUGCUGAGGACGACCGGUCCGCCCUCUGGGUGAGUAUCUGGCUCGGCCUUGGCAUCUUCUUGGGGAACGUAACUGCACUUGACUGUGUGGUGCGGUAUCCAGGACUUUUACUUUGAGGAAAUUAGAGUGUUUCAAGCAGGCGCACGCCUUGAAUACAUUAGCAUGGAAUAAUAAGAUAGGACCUCGGUUCUAUUUUGUUGGUUUCUAGAGCUGAGGUAAUGAUUAAUAGGGAUUGUUGGGGGCAUUAGUACUUAACUGUCAGAGGUGAAAUUCUCCGAUUUGUUAAAGACUAACUUAUGCGAAAGCAUUUGCCAAGGAUGUUUUCAUUA